CUGAUUGUAAGCGUUGGGAUCAUAUCUGGGUAGUGCAUUUUCACCUGCAACCUCAAUAUUUUCUCUCCAGCUUCCACUUAAGACCUGGAAAUAUUUUCAGUGAUUAAACAUGCAACAUGCCAAUCUCAGAGCUCACCUGUUGCACAAGCUCUUGUGGAGCACUAUCAGCAUAACCAGGCUGCUCAUAGUCUCUCAUCUCAAGACAUGUAAAAUCUAAAACCCCAUAGUGUCGAGAAAGCAUCCUUGCUAUUGGUCGAUACCCAUCUCUGUCUCUCAAGUUGUAGUAUCCAGCAGUCAGCUCAGCAGCAUGACUGCUAUCCUUGUACCACCAAUGUAAUCCUGAAACCUGCUCAUUAUUGAGGGGAAGGAAAACCCACAGAACGCUUUUGUUGCUUCUUCCAGGAUCUGGUCACCAUGGAUCAGUAAUUUGUUCGAAUACCAGGUUAAGAAGAAUUUUCCAUGAUCACUGAGAAAGAGCCGCCUGCUGUUACUUCUCCACUGGAUUCAAGCAUCAGCUGUAUGGCCUCCAGUACCUUUAUGUAGUCAUCAACUGCUUUUAUGAUCUCUAAAUCAACCGCAUUAAAGCUUAUCAAUUAUCAAUCCUAGAUAGUUGAGUCCUGCCGCAAAUUGAUGUCAGCUGCAGACGAAGUGUAUAUGCCUCUGCCGCCUUUUUUCCGUUGAAGUAACAGAAACUGCUGCUAUCAGAACUUAGAAACUGUUAUUGGAUGCCUUCCCAUACACAAACAGUUAUUAUAUAAAAUAUUCCAUAGGGUUGGGUUUUAUACUAUCUCCGUUUCAUAAUGCUUGCACCAUUUCGACACACGUGUAUUAAAAUAAUUAGUUGGUAGUAAAAUGUCAUUGUUGUCCUUAAAUAAUGACAAAAAUGUAAGAGUUAAUGAGGUACAAAGUAGGCAAAAAUAAGAUAACAUUUAAGUUACUUUAUGACAUAUUUAGUAAUAAUGUGAUAAGUAUUGUAAAACAGAUGAAAAAAAAUUAUAGCAAGUAUUAUGAAACAGAGGAAGUAUUCUUCAUCUUUGAUUAAAAUAAUAGACUUAUGAAUAAAAAGGUAGGGAAGAAGGUAGUCGAUAAAUAAGCAGACUACGAUCUUGAAGAUAGUCAUCAAAUUUAAUGUGUGUCGAGUGUGUAUCGUUGUUGUUGUAUAUUGAUUUUAAGUGUAAUUUUAAGUAGAAUAUUGAGUUUUUCUUA